AACGGAGUUACAAAGCGGAAGAACCUUU
rnacentral:sRNA from 1 species